UGUAGAAGGUAGAUCACAAAAUCCAUCCACUAUGAUCCUGGGCAGUUUAACUGUUUUCCUUCUCCUGGUCAUCAUCGGUCUGAUUGUCAAGAUCAGGAAAUUUUAUACAGCUGAAGAUGACAGACAGAAUCCACAACGCAGUGAGGGCAGAAUUUUGUCUAACCCUACACAUCAGAACAAAAAUCAGAAGGCCUGUACCACAGAGAGAGCUGGAGCCAAAUGUUGUGUACGCUGCUACGAGAUAGACUCACAGGAAAAGCAACACAAAAACUCUCUCAAACAUUAUGUUGUUAGUUGAUAAAAAUAGUGUGACUGAUGGUUGAUGGGAGACGAGCUAGUGAGGACUUUGAUGUAUAGCUUAGA